GAUGAACGCUGGCGGCGCGCCUAACACAUGCAAGUCGAACGGCACCCACCCUCGGGUGGAAGCGAGUGGCGAACGGCUGAGUAACACGUGGAGAACCUGCCCCCUCCCCCGGGAUAGCCGCCCGAAAGGACGGGUAAUACCGGAUACCCCGGGGUGCCGCCUGGCACCCCGGCUAAAGCCCCGACGGGAGGGGAUGGCUCCGCGGCCCAGCAGGUAGACGGCGGGGGGACGGCCCACCGUGCCGACAACGGGUAGCCGGGUUGAGAGACCGACCGGCCAGAUUGGGACUGAGACACGGCCCAGACUCCUACGGGAGGCAGCAGUGGGGAAUCUUGCGCAAUGGGGGGAACCCUGACGCAGCGACGCCGCGUGCGGGACGGAGGCCUUCGGGUCGUAAACCGCUUUCAGCAGGGAAGAGUCAAGACUGUACCUGCAGAAGAAGCCCCGGCUAACUACGUGCCAGCAGCCGCCGUAA
rnacentral:rRNA from 1 species